rnacentral:rRNA from 1 species
UACGUAGGUGGCAAGCGUUGUCCGGAAUUAUUGGGCGUAAAGCGCGCGCAGGCGGUUUGCUAAGUCCAUCUUAAAAGUGCGGGGCUUAACCCCGUGAUGGGAUGGAAACUGGUAGACUGGAGUAUCGGAGAGGAAAGCGGAAUUCCUAGUGUAGCGGUGAAAUGCGUAGAGAUUAGGAAGAACACCGGUGGCGAAGGCGGCUUUCUGGACGACAACUGACGCUGAGGCGCGAAAGCGUGGGGAGCAAACAGG